rnacentral:rRNA from 1 species
GGGCAAGAACCGGUGCCAGCCGCCGCGGUAAAACCGGCAGCCCAAGUGAUGGCCGCUUUUAUUGGGCCUAAAGCGUCCGUAGCUGGCCGGGCAGGUCCGUCGGGAAAUCCACUCGCCCAACCAGUGGGGGUCCGGCGGAAACAACCCGGCUUGGGACCGGAAGACCAGAGGGGUACGUCUGGGGUAGGAGUGAAAUCCUGUAAUCCUGGACGGACCGCCGAUGGCGAAAGCACCUCUCGAGAACGGAUCCGACAGUGAGGGACGAAAGCUAGGGUCUCGAACCGGAUUAGAUACCCGGGUAGUCCUAACCGUAAACGAUGAUCGCUAGAUGUGGCACAGGCUACGAGCCUGUGCUGUGUCGUAGGAAAGCCGAGAAGCGAACCGCCUGGGAAGUACGUCCGCAAGGAUGAAACUUAAAGAAAUUGGCGGGGGAGCACUACAACCGGAGGAGCCUGCGGUUUAAUU